rnacentral:misc_RNA from 1 species
UAAUCUCACACUUAGGAUUUUUCUUAAGAGGUGGACUUGGAGGUUGCUGCUUUCAUUAGUGGCUCCUCUUAAAAGCAUUAGUGAUGUGAGUCUCGCAUUGCAAACCAGUGUAAUAAGAUUUCGCUGGGUUGAAAAGCUUGAUGAAUCGCUUCUAAUCGUCCAUUUACUUGGACUGUCGCUUGCGGCAAUUGACA